UUCAAUAUUCAAAGUGAAGGUCUUAAGAAAUUGUCAAAUAUCGGACCAGAGGCUAAGUUAAAGGAAAGGGUCAAAGUGCUUGAUGAUGAACAAGAUCAUUUCUGUUGAAGAAAGAAGAUAUUCUGCAAAUCAACAACACACAUCCAAAAUACUUCAUAAUUGGUGGAAAGGAGGCUACAUCUAUUUCCAUUAUUUGGUUCAUUUACAUGCUCUUGAAACAUCCUGAGAUUCAAGAUAUGGUUGAAUAAGAAAUCAAAGAAGCAACAAACAUGAGAAACAAAUUCAAGAUAAGCUUCAUGUAACUUGGAACAAAACUCUCGCGAGUCUAUCCUGCAUCUCAGUGUGAUAGGGAUACGGAGCUAAUCCAUGAUCUAGCAGACUGCAGACUCGUAUUUGGUGCAACUAGACAAAUUGAAGUUAUACGAGGAUAAGUAAUGGACAAAUGUCUCAACAAGCCACACACGUGGACAAAUGCUAUAG